UACGGGGGGUGCGAGCGUUGUCCGGAAUCACUGGGCGUAAAGGGCGCGUAGGCGGCCUUCUAAGUCGAACGUGAAAUCCCCGGGCUCAACCCGGGAACUGCGUCCGAUACUGGAAGGCUUGAAUCCGGGAGAGGGAUGCGGAAUUCCAGGUGUAGCGGUGAAAUGCGUAGAUAUCUGGAGGAACACCGGUGGCGAAGGCGGCAUCCUGGACCGGUAUUGACGCUGAGGCGCGAAAGCCAGGGGAGCAAACGGG
rnacentral:rRNA from 1 species